UCGCAUCCAGGAAUAGACCUUAAACAAUCUCGUGUUGUUCUUUUGGUUUGCACUGGGAUGCAAAAGAAAAAAAUCCCUGCACUCUCUGUCUUUGUGGCAGCCUGCAUGGAGUGGGGGACUACAUCU